AUGUCAAAUUAAAUUCAAAUGCGAUGGGAGAUUUUAAUUCCUUUUCUAUUGUAAGUGCAGUAAGUGUAAAUUUAGUUUUAGAUUUUAAAUCAUUGUUGGAUAAUGCAUCAUUUUUGAUUUAUUCGCUAUCAUAAAUUUGUGACAGCAAAACUGUGAUAAGAAGUAUUAUGAAAUUAGUGAAUUAACAGGCAAAUCAUGUCGCGGAUCCAGCUAAAAGAUUAAACGACAAUAUGAAUGAACAUAACCUCAAAGAUUGUUAAUAAAUGUGCAGUUUUAUAAUAGUGAUACGACUACAUAAACUGUUAUACACUAUAACUGAAUAUUUCUACAAGUAAAAGAUUUCAAAAACAGUUAAUACAUAAGAAUCUCUGAAGAAGUAUUCUAGAAUUCAUAUGAUAUAUCCAUACAAGUGGAAGAAAUAAAAAUUAGAUUCUGCAAGGGAAAGUAUAGUGCUCAGCUCCAGUGUAGUGAUUGGCAAUUUCGCUGUCGUCUAUAGAAGACUCGAUUGACAACAACAGUAACCAGGCAACGCAGGCGUUGAACGGGACAUCCAGUAGGUUGCAACGUUCAUACGGCAGACUCUUCGGCUCUUCUUUAAAACGGCAGCAGUAAGUUGGUGACUCGCGACGCGGACAAGCUGGCUCCAGUGGUGUACCGACU